rnacentral:lncRNA from 1 species
GAGGGUUAAGUACAUACCUGUUCAAAGUACCCAUUUCACAACACUUACCAAUACGUUCCUUUCAUCUUGAGUAUUCCUCCAUUUCAGUAGAACUUUACCCGUUGAACACAUCGGAAUAUAAUUCGGAUACAUGGAAAGUUUGCACAUAAGUGCCACAUAUGUAGCCAAGCUACUAUGUAACCCGCCCAUAAGCGAACUCGGACUCAACUCAACGAGCUCGGGUGUUCGCAUCCAUAAGUGAACUCGGACUCAACUCAACGAGCUCGGAUGCCUAGUUACAUCUCACGAACUCGGACUCAACUCAACGAGUUCGGAC